rnacentral:tRNA from 1 species
GAUAGUGUGGCCGAGUGGUCCAUGGCGCUGGUUUUAGGCACCAGUCUCUUCGGAGGCAAGGGUUCGAAUCCCUUCACUGUCA